AUCACCUGGGGACCUUGUUAAAAUGCAGGUUCUCAUUCAGCAGGUCUGGGGUUGGGCCCAAGAUUCUGCAUUUCUAACAAGCUCCCAGGUGAUGCUGA
rnacentral:pre_miRNA from 1 species